UCACAUGAUAAGAAAAGGAAAUUCUAUGUUGCCUCUUGUUAUUAAACAUUGGUUUCUUAAUGACUACAGCUCUAUCAAAUAAGCUACAUUAUAUUAAAAUAUGAGUUUUAAAAUUAUUAGAAUUAAGUCUAAUUUUAUAUAUCUAUUUUCUCGAAAUGCUUAUUUACGUCAAUCUAAAAUAUCUUGACUUGUCAUCUCUAAUCUAUUCAAUAAAACUUUUCUCAUUAAGAAAUCUCUUUUUUGCUCCUAAAAUCAAUCCAUCAUCUUCCUAAUCUCUCUUAGCAAAAUAUGCUUAAUAAGAUAAUAUUUAGUUAAGAGAUCUCUUUCUUAUUAUUUUCUUUUUGAUAAAAAGGGUCCUCUAUAUAAAAAGAGAUAGUGCAUAAUCCUCAAAUACCAGUGAAAGUAGAAUUUAACUCCAAUUCAUGUGGUACAACUACCAAAAACUGUACCAGAUAUGCAAGCUAGCAUAAUCUCCUUCUUUCUCACUUCAACAUGAAUCUCUCAUCUUUAAGGUAUAUCUAAUUGGAAAAGAGCAAUAGUAUAAGACUCCUGUUACAUGCAUAGACAAUUCUCUUGCCAUUAUAGUAGAAAAAGAUUUGCACAACUUCCAAUAUUUAUUUCCAAACACAAGGCUGGUUAUGGAGCUAUCACAUCUACGAUUGUGGGUCCAAUGAACUUUUCAAAGUGUUUUCAUUUUUAUCUUUGUAUCAAUCCUAUCUUCUUUUGAUCCAUAUUCUCUUUCAGCAAUCUCUUUUAGAAGAAAUUUCUUUAAAAGAGAUAGAGAUCUAAGAUCAAUUAAAGGAG
rnacentral:lncRNA from 1 species